CCUACGGGAGGCAGCAGUGGGGAAUAUUGCACAAUGGGGGAAACCCUGAUGCAGCGACGCCGCGUGAGUGAAGAAGUAAUUCGUUAUGUAAAGCUCUAUCAGCAGGGAAGAAAAUGACGGUACCUGAGUAAGAAGCCCCGGCUAACUACGUGCCAGCAGCCGCGGUAAUACGUAGGGGGCAAGCGUUAUCCGGAUUUACUGGGUGUAAAGGGAGCGUAGACGGGAGUGCAAGUCAGAUGUGAAAGGCGAGGGCUCAACCCCCGAACUGCAUUGGAAACUGUACGGCUGGAGUGCAGGAGAGGUAGGUGGAAUUCCUGGUGUAGCGGUGAAAUGCGUAGAUAUUAGGAGGAACACCCGUGGCGAAGGCGGCUUACUGGACUGUAACUGACGUUGAGGCGCGAAAGCGUGGGGAGCAAACAGGAUUAGAUACCCUGGUAGUC
rnacentral:rRNA from 1 species